AUUGAACGCUGGCGGCAUGCUUUACACAUGCAAGUCGAACGGCAGCGCGGGGCAACCUGGCGGCGAGUGGCGAACGGGUGAGUAAUACAUCGGAACGUGCCCAGAAGUGGGGGAUAACGUAGCGAAAGUUACGCUAAUACCGCAUACGUUCUACGGAAGAAAGUGGGGGACCUUCGGGCCUCAUGCUUUUGGAGCGGCCGAUGUCUGAUUAGCUAGUUGGUAGGGUAAAGGCCUACCAAGGCGACGAUCAGUAGCUGGUCUGAGAGGACGACCAGCCACACUGGGACUGAGACACGGGCCAGACUCCUACGGGAGGCAGCAGUGGGGAAUUUUGGACAAUGGGCGCAAGCCUGAUCCAGCAAUGCCGCGUGAGUGAAGAAGGCCUUCGGGUUGUAAAGCUCUUUUGUCAGGGAAGAAACGGUCGGGGUUAAUACCUCUGGCUAAUGACGGUACCUGAAGAAUAAGCACCGGCUAACUACGUGCCAGCAGCCGCAGUAACAC
rnacentral:rRNA from 1 species